GGCCACUGCUAUGGGGGUCCGACUAAGCCAUGCGAGUCAUGGGGCGCGCUCUGCGCGCACCGGCGGACGGCUCAGUAACACGUCGGUAACCUACCCUCGGGAGGGGGAUAACCCCGGGAAACUGGGGCUAAUCCCCCAUAGGCCUGAGGUACUGGAAGGUCCUCAGGCCGAAAGGGGCAUCUGCCCGCCCGAGGAUGGGCCGGCGGCCGAUUAGGUAGUUGGUGGGGUAACGGCCCACCAAGCCGAAGAUCGGUACGGGCCAUGAGAGUGGGAGCCCGGAGAUGGACACUGAGACACGGGUCCAGGCCCUACGGGGCGCAGCAGGCGCGAAACCUCCGCAAUGCGGGCAACCGCGACGGGGGGACCCCCAGUGCCGUGGCAUCGCCACGGCUUUUCCGGAGUGUAAAAAGCUCCGGGAAUAAGGGCUGGGCAAGGCCGGUGGCAGCCGCCGCGGUAAUACCGGCGGCCCGAGUGGUGGCCGCUAUUAUUGGGCCUAAAGCGUCCGUAGCCGGGCCCGUAAGUCCCUGGCGAAAUCCCACGGCUCAACCGUGGGGCUUGCUGGGGAUACUGCGGGCCUUGGGACCGGGAGAGGCCGGGGGUACCCCUGGGGUAGGGGUGAAAUCCUAUAAUCCCAGGGGGACCGCCAGUGGCGAAGGCGCC
rnacentral:rRNA from 1 species